UACGGAGGAUGCGAGCGUUAUCCGGAUUUAUUGGGUUUAAAGGGUGCGUAGGCGGACUGUCAAGUCAGCGGUAAAAUUGAGAGGCUCAACCUCUUCCCGCCGUUGAAACUGGUGUCUUGAGUGGAUGAGAAGUACGCGGAAUGCAUGGUGUAGCGGUGAAAUGCAUAGAUAUCACGCAGAACUCCGAUUGCGAAGGCAGCGUACCGGCAUCCAACUGACGCUGAGGCACGAAAGCGUGGGGAUCAAACAGG
rnacentral:rRNA from 1 species